UCCUCAUUCCACUCAACCACGGAAUAUUUAGCAAUUUAUGCAAAAUAACCUCCGAAAUAUUGCGACAGUCUAAUCACUUUGAAAAUGGCAGCGUCACACAUUCAACCAAUCAAAUUUGAGAGCUACAGAUUUUGGAACUUCGACCAAUCGCGUGAAAGUACGAAGACGGCCGAAAAUUCUAGUCUUGUAUUUAUCUUUCGUAAAUAUGCUGUUAUUAUCUCGUUUGUUUAAAUUUUCUGCUAUUAGAAACUAAUUCAUAAUUCAUAGCUGUUUUUUUAAAACAAAUACUAAGAUUGUAAUAAUUUAAAAUUGAUUACGGAGUCACCCGAACUCUAUCUACAGUCACUUCCGCUUCCAUAUUUUGAAAUCGUCGAUCUGUGAACAUUGUGAGGAAAGGAAAGCAAAACAAUGGGAGAAACACGUGGAGAGUAUACAAUCUAUUUUGUGGACAACUUGUUAAAGGCUCCUAGAGUAUUCUUAUGGGGUAUGCGACGUGUAUAACACUGGAAGAAGCAGUCCUACCAAACUUGAAAAGCCACGAGGUCGAGUGGUAAUGGCGCGCCCGUGCCGAUGAAUUUGCACGUUGUUUUCACAAUCGGUUUUCCCAACUGCCGACUAUUCCUUGUCAGAUAAUCCUAAAAAUCCGGGAGAUAUAGCAUAGCCUAUCUAACUUUGAAGUUUGAGGAAGCAGACUGACUUUGAAGACGACAAUGAUGUUGAUUGAAUAAUACCAGGAUGCAGCAUUGCAGAAAGUAAUGACGGUAUCUGACAUGUCUUAUGCCAAUCAAUUCCUCCAGAAGAUGACACAAACUUUAAAUUAUGGAAGUUGCGAGCAAGAAUUUUUCAAGGGAAUGUCAGAUGGAGAAGAAACAUCAGUCAACAAGACAGUACUAGUGUAAAAUGAUAAAGUAUCUGUAAUAGGUGCUUACCAUAUUCUGCCUAUUGUGGAUUCAGUGAUGGUUUUUCAAACGAACUAUGCUCAUCAACCAAAUGUCCUUAAAAUUUGUGGAGUGCAGAGCCACUUUCAGGCGAGACAGUAGUGUGGUUCAUUUUAGUGGACAUGAUUUUAGACGAGAUGUGCUUUGUGAAACUUGAAACAUUGUUCAUUCAUCAUAGUGUAAUGAGAACUGUUGUGGUCCAUCAUUCUAUGCUUUAGUGAAGUAAUGGAUAUAAUGUGAAGUACAUGUGUAAAUGCUCAUAUUCUGCACAACAUAUUUUUCAGUGACAUUAUUUCUUUGAGACCAAGCUCUGGACAGUUGAUAGCCAUUUAUGUGUAGGACUUUAUUUUUCUGUGUGUGCAAUAGCAACUGUCACUUGCAGUAAACCCAAACAAAGUGGAGAAAUAAUUUGUUGAGUUCAGAGAUUACAAUUUUUAUUGUGUUAUUUUGAUGAGAAGAUAGUAUUAAUAAGGUACAAUGGUACAUUGUAUCUUAUUGAAAAGCUUAUUUAAGAGUUAUCAGUAGAAUUAGACUGCAUGACAAUUAUUAGAAUGGGAAACCUAGAUGAAGUCAAAAGAAACUAUACUGUAUUUUACAGACUGUCCUGGAAAUAUCAUGCAAUAAAUAAUGUCUCCAGUGUUA